GGAGUUGUGGCUCAGUGGUAGAGCACAUGCCUGGCAUGGGUGAGGCACUGGGUUCUAUUCUCAACACCA
rnacentral:tRNA from 1 species